AUGCUGGGACUGUCCUCUAUCAGUGUGCAAAAUUAUACAACUUUCCCGCAAUCGGUUCUAUGGGCUGCCAUAGACUUGCGGCGGAAGAAGAAGAAGAAGAAGAAAAAGAAGAAGAAGAAGAAGAAGAAGAAGAAGAAGAAGAAGAAGAAUAACGCCAACGAUUUCAAUAGGUGCCUACGCACCUUCGGUGCUUGGCCCCUAAUUAACAUUACUCCACUUUCAGAAUAAAAAUAUCUUAAAAAAUUAACUCAACCCCAUGUCAUCCAAGAUGUUCUUUUCUCCCUUUCUUCAGUCACAAAUAAUUUAUCAGUUGCAACUUAUAUAAUGAAAUGAUCAGUCAUUUUCUUAAGAAAAAAAAAAAAUAUAUAUACACUUUUUGCUCAUCUUGUCUGGCUCUGCGAUGCUCCUGCAUACUCCUGUGUACAACGGUUCAAGACAGGGUAUGUCUUAAAACUCCCAACUCCUUUCUCCUCCAACUUCAAAAUCGUCCUACAUCGUUGUUUAAAUUUAUUUGUUAAUUUUUUCUGGAAAGCAUGUUUGACCAUCUUUGCACGUUUGUAGCAUCUGCUUAGGAUCAUGUACGAUCAUUUGGGCUUUAUGUUGUAGGGAUUCCUUUAGCCUUUUGACAUUUGCAUAUAAAAUCUGGCUCCACGCUAUACAUACAGAAUCUGGCUCCACGCUAUACAUUUAUAUGAGUACUUAAUGGCAAUGUUUACCCCCCAUUAUCUGGAAGAUACUGAGCAGACCAACUCUUGGGUCUCCCCAUCCAACAUCAAGUACAUUCUGAGAUAACUAGAUAGUCCUCGAUGCCAGACACCAAAUGGGCCUGGCUGACCGGCCAACUCACAUUCUCACAACACACACACACACACACAUUUAUUAAUUUAGACUAUAAUUAAUCAGUUACAAAUGUAUCUGGUAUAUGCAUGUAUUGUUUGUAUGUUUCAUUAUUGUAGUAGCCUAGUUACAAUUCUUUAUUUGUAUUAGUUAGACUCUCAAUGCUUAUAUUCAGGUAUAUGAGUGUAUCUCUGCUUUAAGAUCUUUUACAUGUUUCGUUCUUAGUAUCAAAAUGAUCUGCUUUUUAUUCCUCAAACAAUUAUGUACACUAUGUGAUCCUAAUAUGCAUCAUACUAUUUGUACCAUAGUUUGGGUAAAACUGAAUGAAUUCUCUAGACUAGCAAUAAACAUGCCAAUGGGCCAUAAACCGGAGACA
ensembl:lncRNA